CUUAAAAUAGGCUAACUCUUGCGCAAAAAAAGAUAGAAAAUAUCAAAUAUGGGAAAGCGGGACGAUAGACCAAACAUAUCUACGAAGAGACCGUUGGUGCCAGAAAUAUCUCUGUCUUUAGUAGUGUCCGCGAGGUAUAUUAAUUUAUAAAACAUGAGAUAUUAGUACCAUAUUGCCCGGGAAUCAAAAGAUUUUUGCAAGAUCGCAGAAUUCAGCUAGACACACAAAAAAAAAGACAAUCACUACAGCCUUCCAAGAAGAUGGACUGCCUCACAAUAGUUUCCUUGAGGACUGUCUUGAAAUAUCCAGAGUUUAAGAUUCAAGAAACGGACUCUAUCUGGAAAAGGAAAACAAUAUCAAAGCUCCUCUGUGAGAAGUUGGCCAAGGAAAGCAUUCAGAAGAAAGUGGAGAUUCAUUGUUUUUACCAGAUCCAGCAGAUCACAGAAAGCAUCUAGUAGGGGAGGGUAGUUUAGAACUGUGUGCAUUGGUUUUGGAAGAAUUUGGGCUGUUUAGGCUAAAAUCCAUUAUGAUUGGACAGAAUAUGAACACACACAUCCAAUACUUCAAAGAUAUUAUGUUUGUGGAGGCAGAGAUUUUGAUUGCAUCCACUGUUUAGAAUACAUCCUUAAGGGAAGCAGACUGCCGCCUUUACCCAAUGAUAUAAUGAUUAAUCAUAACUAUAUCUGUUUUGUACCAAAUAGAAAGAGCAUUGAUUCAGGUCAUUUUCAAAUCCACUGGCAUACAUUGUACUAUACAUGCAACCUUUUCAAACUUUACAUUUAAGAUUUUAUAAAGGAAAUAUCUUAAUGUUUCACAUGUUUACCUUUCACUGUGCUAUGUAAUUCAUUAUACCUGCCAUUAUGCCAGUCUUCCUGAACAUAAUUUGUUUUCUGCAAUUUCAUUGGCCAAGAGGCUUAAUCCUGGGUUAUCAGAUUGAGCAUUUAUAUUUAGUAUCCCAUUGAUUUUGUCAGCCCUAUAUAAGGAGCUGACUCAGAUUUACUCACUCUGCUAGGUUAAAGAACUCUAAGGUUUGUACUUUUCACAUGAAUUUCGUGUUCGCCUCUUAUCUUUUACAUAGAGUAGGAAAUGAACAUAACAUUGAGUUAGGGAACUAUUUAGAUUUUACAUUAUAAUAUGUAAAUACCUUAGCAGAGUCAAUUUACUUGGUUCAGGGUAGUAUCAGAUAUUACUUUUUCAGAGUUUAAGUGUUUAGGCUAUCUCAAUGUUUCUAUAGUUAGCCUUGUCCUAUGUUACUUUUAGAUGUAUGGAAGCCUUUUAGUGUUAUAACACUAUAUUUAUGCCCCCAUUCAAAGAAGAGGGACAUAUUGGUUUGCACCUGUUGGUCGGUCGGUAGACCACAUGUUGUCCGCUUAAUAUCUUAAGAACCAUUCACUUGAUCGUAAUAUAUUUCAUAUGUGGGUUGGUUAUGAAAAGAAGAGGACCCCAAUUGUUUUUCAGGUCGAAAUGUCAAGGGUCAAUCUACUCUGGACAUAGGAAGACACUGCCUGCUCAAUAUCUUGAGAACCCUUUGCUUGACAGACAUCAAACUUGGUACACUGGUACAUCUCAAGGAGUAGAUUUAAGGUCAUAUGGUCAAAGGUCAAGGGGUAAACUGGACAUAGUAAUAUAUUGUCUCUUAUGUUUUAAGAAUUAUUUGCUUGAUUGACACCAAACCUGGUACAGCAUAAGGAGUAGAUGACCCCUAUUGAUUUUUAGGUCACUUGGUCAAUCCACUCCUGACAUAGGAAGAUAUUGUUUGCUCAAUAUUUCGAAUUGAUGAUACUACUAUCAAUCAAAUUAUGCAUAUGUAUAACCCUUUUCAAUUUUGCACCAUGGGGGCUUAUAUGUAAUUGUUUUACAAACACCUCAUGUUUUAUAGUUUGUGAAAGCUUGUUAGGGUCAUAACUUUAGAUUUUCUUAUUAUGGUACUUGCCCGUCAGAGACUGGACAUAUUAUGGUAUGGUGUUGUCUGUCCGGACCUUGUAAGAUGGGAUACAGACUGAACCGUAAGCUCUAGAAUCUUACAACUUGGUACAUUUGAUCACCAUAAAAGGAAGAUGCUUAUUGUUUUUUAAGGUCAAGGUUGUAGGUUCACUUAAUAGGAAAACCUUGUUCGAGAAAAUUACAGAUUCUUGAACUGAGUAUUUUGAGGAAACAUUACAUAGAAAGUACAUGAUUUGUCAAAUUUCUCCCAAUAUUCAACUGAGAACCUUAUUCUGCAGAGUAUUUGUAUGGGUAUGGAAAAUGUGUAUGUGGCUAUGAUUUUGAUUUUUGUUAAAAAUUUUGUUGUUGAAAAUUACAGGUUUAACCGAGUCAGUUUUUGAGGAAAUAUACAUGUAUUAAAUAAAUGACGGUUUGACCUUUUAACUCCUCUCACAGUUUUGAAGCUAGGGUCUUUGUAAAUAACUUCUUUGGUGUUUUAGAAUAUUUACAGAUUGUUGAUCAUGGUCAAUUUUGGGGAAAUAUUUUCCGCAGAGCUCUAGUUGUCUAUCUACCGGCCUCCUGUCACUUUUAAGUUUAGGAGCUUUUAUUCAUGGAAAGAAAGUAUGUGACAAUCUGAUGAUGGCUGAUACUAUUUAAAGCCUUUUUAUACGCCCGUCUUAAGAUGGGACGUAUUAUGGUAUGGCGUUCAUGUCCGUCCGUCUGUUAGCUUUUUCGUGUCCGACCCGUAACUUAAAUACUACAAGGCCUAGAAUCGUCAAACUUUGUCUGUAGAUACAUCUUGGGUAGAAGGUGUGUCACACAUUAAAACCAGGUCACUGUGACUUUUCAUUAAGAAGAUAUCCGUCUGUCCGUCCGUCUGUUAGCUUUUUCGUGUCCGACCCGUAACUUAAAUACUACAAGGCCUAGAAUCAUCAAACUUUGUAGAUACAUCUUGGGUAGAAGGUGUGUCACACAUUAAAACCAGGUCACUGUGACUUUUCAUUAAGAAGAUAUCCGUCUGUCCGUCCGUCUGUUAGCUUUUUCGUGUCCGACCCGUAACUUAAAUACUACAAGGCCUAGAAUCAUCAAACUUUGUCUGUAGAUACAUCUUGGGUAGAAGGUGUGUCGCACAUUAAAACCAGGUCACUGUGACUUUUCAUUAGGAAGAUAUGGCCAUAUAUGGCAAAAACUUGUCCGACUCAUAACUUGAAAACUAUUAGACCUAGAAUCACCAAAAUUGGUCAACUAAUGCAUCUUAGGUAGAAGGUGUGUCGCAUCCUACUUUAAGGUCACUGUGACAUUUAAUUAAGGUGAUAUAAAAAAAAUGUUUUAAUGGGUACAAUCUAUACUGUUAACAAUAUGUGACGGGCAUAUCAUGUGCCAUGGCGGUGCACUUUAUUCUAGAAAUGGCAUCAGAAAAACACCCUAUGUAACCUUUUCUGCUUGUACUCAUUUAUUUUUAUUGGAAAACUUAUUACUUGUUAUCAGCUACUCUAAAACAAUAUUGACUUGUGCUAUAAUAAAUUUGUAAACUUUA